AAUAUAAGUUGGUUUGAUUCACGUUUAACCGUUCGUCUUAUUCACGUUCUAGUGAAAAAUUCCCGUGGGACGUAGAAAUGAGAGAAAGAGAGAGAAACUCGUGGAAGCUGGGUAGGAUCAUAAAUAAUUCCAAGGAUCCGUUUACCUGAGGGUAGCGAUGGGACUUCUCCUGGAAGUGUGCGCACACGUGUCCAACGAGGGACUCGAGGGGUGUUUUCCUGUCGAUGACUAAACCGAGCCCGUUACUAUAAAAGCAACAGGAGAACUUAGACUGACGUUGGAUGGUGUCACGGGUGGUUACGAGAUGCGCAUACGGAAGCCGUUACGCUUAAUUACCUACUUGUCAACAAUUAUCGAUCUGCCAGAGAAAGAGAGAGAGAGAGAGAAAGAGAGGGAAAGUAAUUCGAUACUUGUUUUCACCUAAACGCUUUGGGAUACCUAAAGAAAUUCGGUCUAUCCGAUUACAAAUUUUCUUCCGUAUGCAUUUUUAAAAAAAGGAGAUUAUUAUAUUUAACGGAAACAAAAAAAAGGAACUCAUAUUGAGGUCGUUCAGUUAAUUGUGUGUGAUGGAAAUGAAAGAAAAAAAAAUUAGAAAAAAAUGACCGAUCAACCGAUACUUCUUGGGAGAGAAAGAGAAAGAAAAAGAGUUGCAUGUGCAA
rnacentral:lncRNA from 1 species